UUAUGAACAACGCAAAAAACACGUUCAAGUCCCUUCCGUAUGCUGGCCCGAGGUGCGCUUCACAGCUGUGCCCAAGACUGCUGGGGAUUGAGGGACGACACGGAGAUCAAAACGAACAAUCUUGGGUGCGGUGCUUUCCGGCAAUUGCCACAUGGGAAGGAUCGCAAUGAUUGAGCGAACAU
rnacentral:sRNA from 1 species